GCAUGAAAAAGCUGAUGUACUUAAGAUGGUUAGGCAAGGGAGCUGGUUCUAUCAAUUUCGGGUGGUUGCGCUCUUCAGGGUGUCGCCAUUUCCAUAUGCAAUUUUCAACUAUGCUGUAGUGGUAACUGAUAUGAAAUUUAGUCCAUAUAUAUGUGGGUCGAUUGCUGGAAUGGUACCCGAAUCUUUCAUCUACAUAUACAGGUUAGUAGUCUCUAAAUUUCAUAUUAUAUGGUUUUCUUAUUUGUAAGGCUGGAGUGGGCCAUUACUUCGUUUUGUCAAGUGGGCGGUUAAUAAGGAAAUUGGCAGAUGUGAAAUACGUAAAGCAUCACAUGACUACGGUGGAGAUAGUCGCCAAUGUCAUCUCUUCUAUCACUGCUAUUGUUACCAUAGUUGCCUUCACUGUCUAUGCUAAGAGAAGUCUAAACAAUCUGAGAAGCAUGAGAGCAAAUGAGGUUCAUUUCCUAAUGUUGAUGAAUGCAAGGAGGUUCAAGCAUUUGAGUCAAUUUACCGCUGAGCAAUUACUCUUCAGUGGAAGGUGUUCUGUACUGCAAGCCUCAUUUUGAACAACUUUUGAAGGAAACUGGCAGUUUCAACAAGAGCUUCUAGUCACUUACGGUCAGGCAAUCAAGGUAAACUGGGCAUAUGCCAGUGGCCAGAGGGAGGUUACUUCAGGCCACUUCAACAUCUUUGUUGGCGACCCAAGUCCUGAAGUCACUGAUGCGACUCUGUUUGCAUGCUUUUCAGUGUAUUCCAGCUGCUUGUGAGUUCCCUACUGCUUUUCAGAGUACUGCAUUUGAUAGUUUAUAGUGUUUGUUGUUUUUUUUUCCUGGUUUUUUCUUUUCUAGAGGAAGGAUGAAACUCUUUUUUAUUUUUUUUUCUUGUUUUUCUUGAGUAAACUUGGGAAGCUUCUGCUACUGCAUGUGUUGAUGUGGUUAUAAACUU